CUGUAGUAAACAUGCUUGUGUCGUAAGAACGGCGUUUUUAAUAUUAAUAAUUUUAUUGGCAUUUGUGCACAAAACAAGUUUUUAUAAACUUAGAACAGUUUUCCUCCAGUUGGGCAAUCAUAUGCGCGUAUUGGACUUAAAAAUUCAAUUAAUAUAGUGUUGCAUUUGGAGCUGACACUGAUCUCAAAAUAGCAAGAAAACAUUUUACUAUUUAAUCAAUCUACAAAAUUGUACUAAGCAGUGGUGGAGUGAAAUAUAAUUUCUUUGAAGCAUUAAAGUACAUAACCGCAAUGUCAACAAACUUCAAUAGUACAAAAUCAUCUGGCAACAAAAAGCAUGUAUUGUAGGAAAACGUAAACGAUAAAAGUAGCUCAAAAACUACGGAUGAGUAACUCAUAUCUUUGCUUCUUGAAAAUCAAUUUUUGAAGCUGAAGCCACGAAGAAUGCAAAAUAUUUGGAAGUUAUAUUCCUCGUGUCCACCAACAUCUGAGAAUUUAAAUGAAUAUAAUAUCAAGUAAUAGAUGCAGAUCCGUAAAUCGUACGACGCAUCUUACAAUUUUCAGAGAAACUUUUAACGCAAUAUGAUCGAACGUUAAAAUACGUUGCAUCAAUAACUGUAUUCAU